GGAGAAUCAAAGGGCAUGCUGCCUUAAGUGCCACUUGACUGGCUGGCAGCACUCCAACAAGGACUCAUUUUUAGACCAUGGAAUAGAUACUCCUGGUCCCUGGCUACCCAUCUCAAAGAGAGGCCUUUGGAAAUCAGGGUCACCUUUAAUGGAUUAAAGUGUUAACUAUGGAGAAGAAUACAGGAACACUUGAAAGGGCCAACCAUCAAUAGAAAGGAAAAUUGUUACUCUGACUCAUCUUUUGUGAAGAACAAAUUCAUUAAGAGGUUCUUAUGUGGCUGUUACGCUAUUUCCUUGCUGAACUUUUGUGCUGGGGGCCUGCUGUGUCCUGACUGCUGUGAAAAUUUCCCCAAAGUAGGAGCAUGCUGUGCAAGUACUUCUCAUGCCUGAUUCCCACCUUUUGGAAUUUAAGGAUGCUACAAC
rnacentral:lncRNA from 1 species